UACGGAGGGUGCGAGCGUUAAUCGGAAUCACUGGGCGUAAAGCGCACGUAGGCUGUUUUGUAAGUCGCAUGUGAAAGCCCUCGGCUCAACCGGGGAACUGCGUGCGAUACUGCUUAACUCGAGUCCUGGAGAGGGUGGCGGAAUUCCCGGUGUAGGAGUGAAAUCCGUAGAUAUCGGGAGGAACACCAGUGGCGAAGGCGGCCACCUGGACAGGUACUGACGCUGAGGUGCGAAAGUGUGGGGAGCAAAC
rnacentral:rRNA from 1 species